AAACGUAAAUAAGAUGGGUAUGUAUCAGCUGACAAUGGGGAUCUUGUCUUAGGGUAAAAGAAAACAAAAAUGUACACCAAUUCAAAGUUUCAAAUGUUGGCAAUGAAAUGGAAACCACAUCAGAGUUUAUGAGGGUGGAAGAGGACCAGAAAAUUGGACAGUGGUGGCAUUAAUAUCGGGUGAGGAAAGUUGGUUUUAAAUCAUAAUCGACAAGAGGUUUUCAAGCGGAUUUAUAUUCGGAUUGAGUCACUAGGGAAAGUAAGGCCGAAAUCAGACAAGGGUCCAUGACAAGAAGCUGCUGGAUGAUCUGUUGCUUGAUUCUUGUUUUGUCAUAAUUAGUGGUUUCAACUGCCACAAAACAGAAAGCCAUCUUAGCUGUUCAUUGCUUUGAGAGGAACUGAAGUUCAUAUCUGGUUUGUAUGAUGUAAGAAAUUAAACUCUGAUUGCAGAAUCAGAUGUAGACAAGCCAGUAAAAGUUGAAUGGAAGUUUAUUAAAAAUUAGAAAA